AACUACGUCUAAGGACACGUGCGUACGUCCUUGAUGUUGACAAGCGGACGACACAUGUGCAACACCGGUACCGACGGUAAUUUCUGAAGCAAUUUACACCGGUUUGAUGUGUUUUUUACACUGACAUGCAGGUUUAACUACUGAAGCUAGUCGCAGAAGAAUAAAGCUCAAUUGAAUUUCACUUGGGAAGGGACCAUGUGGCCGGUGAUUAUAGCUUUUGCUCGGACAUAUGCUCCGUAUGUGGUAUUCCCCAUCACAGCUACAAUUGGAUUCCUGGGAUAUGUAUAUGAAUCAAACUAUAGACAAAUAAAUGUACCGUUUAAAUCAAUCACAAUUCAAGAGGAGCGUGAUCAAAGGAAGUUAGAAGAAGUAAAAGAUCAAACAGAUUUAACUAAUCUGACAAGUUUGAAAUCCAAGCCUGGUGUACCAAAGACCAUUCUAGACAGAAAUGAUAAAGCAAAUAUUGCCAAAAAACAGGACAAUCCUUGAUGAGAGAUUGUUAAGUGCGGAAAUUUAUUAUACGCAUUGUUCAUGAAACUGACAAAACCCUCUUUUUUUAUCAAUCAGUUGCUUGGCAAAUAAGACUACAAUAAAUGCUGUUUUUCCGUGGUGCAUCUGGAUUAAAGUAGAAAAUUUAAACUUCACAAAAAGAUUUAAAUAAAUGUUUUCAUUUCUUCUUUAUGAAAUGGGAGAAGGAACAAAUCUAACACCUUUUAAUUGUGUUUUUUCCAGCAGAAGUGUGAAAUGAGACCAUGUAACACUAAAACAAAGUCGCAAAAUGUGAGAACUUCAUUUUACAGUUAUAUGAACAUACAUAUACUGUAUAUUAAAUGCAAUUACUGUUUAGUGUUUAUAUAUAUUAGCUUUGUACUUACUAUUUAUAUAUACAGAGCUUUGGACACUGUGACAACGGAAAGGGUCUCUCGGGACAAAGAGUAUUAUACUUAUUGAAAAGAUCAGAUAUCAGCAGAAAUUAAUCUACUUACUGGGAAAGAUAUUUCAGUAUUCAGAAGAUUCUUAUGUUUGUGUUAAGAAAAUUAACUUAAAUAUUUGAAUAUAUGAAGAAAUGGACAAGGCAGAAACUGAAAAUGUAAUCUUCAGCAGGAAACAAAAUCUUUUGUUUCAUUUAAUACAAAAUGUGUAUGUUUUGUUUUCAUGAUUGACUUGAUGAAACUAUAUAAAUUUGAUUUUGAAUCGUUA